rnacentral:rRNA from 1 species
AUUGAACGCUGGCGGCAUGCUUUACACAUGCAAGUCGAACGGUAACAGGCCGCAAGGUGCUGACGAGUGGCGCACGGGUGAGUAAUGCAUCGGAACGUGCCCAGUCGUGGGGGAUAACUACUCGAAAGAGUAGCUAAUACCGCAUACGAUCUAUGGAUUAAAGCGGGGGACCGUAAGGCCUCGCGCGAUUGGAGCGGCCGAUGUCAGAUUAGGUAGUUGGUGGGGUAAAGGCUCACCAAGCCAACGAUCUGUAGCUGGUCUGAGAGGACAACCAGCCACACUGGGACUGAGACACGGCCCAGACUCCUACGGGAGGCAGCAGUGGGGAAUUUUGGACAAUGGGCGCAAGCCUGAUCCAGCAAUGCCGCGUGCAGGAAGAAGGCCUUCGGGUUGUAAAAUGCUUUUGUACGGAACGAAACGGCUCUGGUUAAUACCCGGGGCUAAUGACGGUACCGUAAGAAUAAGCACCGGCUAACUACGUG